rnacentral:rRNA from 1 species
GAUGAACGCUGGCGGCGUGCCUAAUACAUGCAAGUCGAGCGAACGGACGAGGAGCUUGCUGCUCUGAUGUUAGGGGCGGACGGGUGAGUAACACGUGGAUAACCUACCUAUAAGACUGGGAUAACUUCGGGAAACCGUAGCUAAUACCGGAUAAUAUUUUGAACCGCAUGGUGGAAAAGAGAAAGACGGUCUUGCGGGAACGUAUAGAUGGAUCCGCGCUGGAUUAGCUAGUUGGUAAGGUAACGGGUUAUCAAGGCAACGAUGCAUAGCCGACCUGAGAGGCUGAUCGGCCACCCGGGAGCUGAGACACGGUCCAGACUCCUACGGGAGGCAGCAGUAGGCAAUCUUCCGCAAUGGGCGAAAGCCUUACGGAGCAACGCCGCGUGAGUUAUGAAGGUCUUCGGAUCGUAAUACUCUGUUAUGAGGGAAGAACAUAUUUGUAAGUAACCGUGCACAUCUUGACGGUACCUAAUCAGAAAGCCACGGCUAACUACGUG